CAGUCGCCACGGGAAUACGAAGGGUGCAAGCGUUAAUCGGAAUUACUGGGCGUAAAGCGUGCGUAGGCGGCUUGGUAAGUUAGAGGUGAAAGCCUGGAGCUCAACUCCAGAAUUGCCUUUAAGACUGCCGAGCUAGCAGGUGAGAGAGGUAAGUGGAAUUCCGAGUGUAGAGGUGAAAUUCGUAGAUAUUCGGAAGAACACCAGUGGCGAGGGCGGCUUACUGGCUCAUACUGGACGCUGAGGCGCGAAAGCGUGGGGAGCAAACAGGAUUAGAUACCCCAGUAGUCCCUGUCUCUUAUAC
rnacentral:rRNA from 1 species